rnacentral:rRNA from 1 species
ACCGUUAUAACCGGCGAUUUCCGAAUGGGGAAACCCAGUGUGACUCGUCACACUAUCAUUAACUGAAUCCAUAGGUUAAUGAGGCGAACCGGGGGAACUGAAACAUCUAAGUACCCCGAGGAAAAGAAAUCAACCGAGAUUCCCCCAGUAGCGGCGAGCGAACGGGGAGGAGCCCAGAGCCUGAAUCAGCAUGUGUGUUAGUGGAAGCGUCUGGAAAGGCGCGCGAUACAGGGUGACAGCCCCGUACACAAAAGCGCAUGUGCUGUGAGCUCGAUGAGUAGGGCGGGACACGUGGUAUCCUGUCUGAAUAUGGGGGGACCAUCCUCCAAGGCUAAAUACUCCUGACUGACCGAUAGUGAACCAGUACCGUGAGGGAAAGGCGAAAAGAACCCCGGCGAGGGGAGUGAAAAAGAACCUGAAACCGUGUACGUACAAGCAGUGGGAGCCCCACCACUAAGCCAGUGGUGAACUCCACAUACGCAUCCUUUGCUGAGGAUACGGUUAACGGAGCGAAAGCGACGUUCAACCUCAAAAGAAGCAGAGGGGGCUUAGUGGUGGGGUGACUGCGUACCUUUUGUAUAAUGGGUCAGCGACUUAUAUUCUGUAGCAAGGUUAACCGAAUAGGGGAGCCGGAGGGAAACCGAGUCUUAACCGGGCGUUAAGUUGCAGGGUAUAGACCCGAAACCCGGUGAUCUAGCCAUGGGCAGGUUGAAGGUUGGGUAACACUAACUGGAGGACCGAACCGACUAAUGUUGAAAAAUUAGCGGAUGACCUGUGGCUGGGGGUGAAAGGCCAAUCAAACCGGGAGAUAGCUGGUUCUCCCCGAAAGCUAUUUAGGUAGCGCCUCGUGAAUUCAUCUCCGGGGGUAGAGCACUGUUUCGGCUAGGGGGCCAUCCCGGCUUACCAACCCGAUGCAAACUGCGAAUACCGGAGAAUGUUAUCACGGGAGACACACGGCGGGUGCUAACGUCCGUCGUGAAGAGGGAAACAACCCAGACCGCCAGCUAAGGUCCCAAAGUCAUGGUUAAGUGGGAAACGAUGUGGGAAGGCCCAGACAGCCAGGAUGUUGGCUUAGAAGCAGCCAUCAUUUAAAGAAAGCGUAAUAGCUCACUGGUCGAGUCGGCCUGCGCGGAAGAUGUAACGGGGCUAAACCAUGCACCGAAGCUGCGGCAGCGACGCUGAUGCGUUGUUGGGUAGGGGAGCGUUCUGUAAGCCUGCGAAGGUGGCCUGUGAGGGUUGCUGGAGGUAUCAGAAGUGCGAAUGCUGACAUAAGUAACGAUAAAGCGGGUGAAAAGCCCGCUCGCCGGAAGACCAAGGGUUCCUGUCCAACGUUAAUCGGGGCAGGGUGAGUCGACCCCUAAGGCGAGGCCGAAAGGCGUAGUCGAUGGGAAACGGGUUAAUAUUCCCGUACUUGGUGUUACUGCGAAGGGGGGACGGAGAAGGCUAUGUUGGCCGGGCGACGGUUGUCCCGGUUUAAGCGUGUAGGUGUGUGUUCCAGGUAAAUCCGGUUCACUUUAACACUGAGGCGUGAUGACGAGGCACUACGGUGCUGAAGCAACAAAUGCCCUGCUUCCAGGAAAAGCCUCUAAGCAUCAGGUAACAUCAAAUCGUACCCCAAACCGACACAGGUGGUCAGGUAGAGAAUACCAAGGCGCUUGAGAGAACUCGGGUGAAGGAACUAGGCAAAAUGGUGCCGUAACUUCGGGAGAAGGCACGCUGACACGUAGGUGAAGUGAUUUACUCAUGGAGCUGAAGUCAGUCGAAGAUACCAGCUGGCUGCAACUGUUUAUUAAAAACACAGCACUGUGCAAACACGAAAGUGGACGUAUACGGUGUGACGCCUGCCCGGUGCCGGAAGGUUAAUUGAUGGGGUCAGCGCAAGCGAAGCUCCUGAUCGAAGCCCCGGUAAACGGCGGCCGUAACUAUAACGGUCCUAAGGUAGCGAAAUUCCUUGUCGGGUAAGUUCCGACCUGCACGAAUGGCGUAAUGAUGGCCAGGCUGUCUCCACCCGAGACUCAGUGAAAUUGAACUCGCUGUGAAGAUGCAGUGUACCCGCGGCAAGACGGAAAGACCCCGUGAACCUUUACUAUAGCUUGACACUGAACAUUGAGCCUUGAUGUGUAGGAUAGGUGGGAGGCUUUGAAGUGUGGACGCCAGUCUGCAUGGAGCCGGCCUUGAAAUACCACCCUUUAAUGUUUGAUGUUCUAACGUGGACCCGUGAUCCGGGUUGCGGACAGUGUCUGGUGGGUAGUUUGACUGGGGCGGUCUCCUCCUAAAGAGUAACGGAGGAGCACGAAGGUUGGCUAAUCCUGGUCGGACAUCAGGAGGUUAGUGCAAUGGCAUAAGCCAGCUUGACUGCGAGCGUGACGGCGCGAGCAGGUGCGAAAGCAGGUCAUAGUGAUCCGGUGGUUCUGAAUGGAAGGGCCAUCGCUCAACGGAUAAAAGGUACUCCGGGGAUAACAGGCUGAUACCGCCCAAGAGUUCAUAUCGACGGCGGUGUUUGGCACCUCGAUGUCGGCUCAUCACAUCCUGGGGCUGAAGUAGGUCCCAAGGGUAUGGCUGUUCGCCAUUUAAAGUGGUACGCGAGCUGGGUUUAGAACGUCGUGAGACAGUUCGGUCCCUAUCUGCCGUGGGCGCUGGAGAACUGAGGGGGGCUGCUCCUAGUACGAGAGGACCGGAGUGGACGCAUCACUGGUGUUCGGGUUGUCAUGCCAAUGGCACUGCCCGGUAGCUAAAUGCGGAAGAGAUAAGUGCUGAAAGCAUCUAAGCACGAAACUUGCCCCGAGAUGAGUUCUCCCUGAGACUUAGAGUCUCCUGAAGGAACGUUGAAGACGACGACGUUGAUAGGCCGGGUGUGUAAGCGCAGCGAUGCGUUGAGCUAACCGGUACUAAUGAACCGUGAGGCUUAACCUUACA